AUUGAACGCUGGCGGCAGGCCUAACACAUGCAAGUCGAACGAGUGGCGGACGGGUGAGUAAUGUCUGGGAAACUGCCUGAUGGAGGGGGAUAACUACUGGAAACGGUGGCUAAUACCGCAUACUAUCGGAUGUGCCCAGAUGGGAUUAGCUAGUAGGUGGGGUAAAGGCUCACCUAGGCGACGAUCCCUAGCUGGUCUGAGAGGAUGAUCAGCCACACUGGAACUGAGACACGGCCCAGACUCCUACGGGAGGCAGCAGUGGGGAAUAUUGCGCAAUGGGCGCAAGCCUGAUGCAGCAAUGCCGCGUGUAUGAAGAAGGCCUUCGGGUUGUAAAGUACUUUCAGCGGGGAGGCGUUACCCGCAGAAGAAGCACCGGCUAACUCCGUGCCAGCAGCCGCGGUAAUUC
rnacentral:rRNA from 1 species